GUCGCCAUUGCCUUUUCCGGUCUCGUUGUGAGCACGUGCGCUAAUCAUCUCCUCGGUUCUUUCCAUUCGAUUCGACGCAAUAGACGACCGAAGCCAGCUUCUGCCAGCUCCCAUCAAUCAUAAAACGAAAAAUAAAGAAGACGCAAACGACUGAUAUAAAUCAAAGAAUACCAUGGCUGCUAGAUCAAUUCCUUUCCCGGCUCAAAAUCCAACGUAUACAGAGCUCCUCACGGUGAUUGGAAUCCAUUUUUUUGAUGAAUAUCGCACAAAAUACAGCCUGCCAAUGAGCACAAUCGAUGAUAUAAUUGCAAAAACAUGGAGAAGACAGCUAAAAUCGUCGGAGCGUUUAGCGGUCUUCAGUUUCCUCCGGCAUCAUGGGGAAGAAAAUAUACUCAACAUUGAAAUUUAUGAAACCAAGAAAUAAGAUCGAGGAGAAAGUUGAAAACAAAUCGGGCGGACAAGCGGAAAAAGCCCGAAAAAAAAUGAAAAAAAAAGUGCAAAAAAAUUGGAAUUAUUUGUCAUCGUCAACAAAAUUCAUUCAAGAGGAUCACAUUUCAACUGCAGUCUUCAUUCCAAGUCGGUGAACUUGUUCCGGCAAGGAUCAGGAAUCGCCUACGUCUUCAAAAUUUUAAUAUGAAAUUUAUGAAUAAGGUGACAACCAGUGGAAACCUCGCUACGCCCAGUUCAGCGAAAAUUUUUUCCUCCCCAAAAUCGGGGGGGCUAACUCAGUGGAGGUCCGGAGUAUCGCUGUCCGUUCAUGCAUUGAAGGUGCUGCGCAUUGAGGAGCACCGGCCGCCGCUACUGCCGGUCGCGGUGUUACCGACGGCGCUGCGAUGAGUCCCGGUGGAGCAGCGGCGGUGCGGGACGGUGGGCGAGGGGUCUCGCCCGCGCGUGUUAGUGGUGGCACGCGCGAGCCCGGGGGGGCCGACUGCGUGGCUUGGCCCCUUCUCUCCCACCGGGGGAGGCAACCGCCGGCGUGUUUCGCGAAGGCGUCCCCCUGGACGUAAACGCUGCACAGGGAGCAGGCCACCUUGCCCUUCCUCCGAGAUACCCGGGCGACGCUUGUUUCUAAGCACGCGGCCACCCCUGGGCACCCGCGAAGUUUCCCGCACACCGGGCAUUUUGUCGAUGACGGAGGGCUGGUACGGCCGAUCGGCGUGACCCUCGUUCCUUCCAGCCGCAUCUCCACGCCGGGAGAUAACCGCCGGGCUGGCGUUCCUGCGUGCGGAGGGCCCGUUGUCGCCGAUUCGGGUGUUGUCGUAGGCCGGUUCGUUAUUAUUAGUUGCCGCGCCGCGGGGAUUGCGUCCACCACCGCAGCGGCAUCCUCGUACUCCUUGUCCUGGGAGGUCCCUGCGUGCUUUCGCACCUCAGGCCGAUGUUUGGCCUCCAGGAAGACGAAUAGGCGGAAUUUGCGGAAACAGCCGAAGAGAUGGCCAUCGUCACCUGCUGCGUCGCACAGGGGACACCACUCUGGUAGUCCAUCGUGGAAUCGUUGGCGACGGAACGCAUGGAGGCACAAAAACAAGUCGCGGCACUGCUCUAUUGAAAUAGAGCAUACUGGGCACUCGCGACGGCGUACAUAUCGCUUGACGAUUGCUUGCAUAUUUUUAGAUUUUUUUUUUGUUUUCGCACGACACGGAACAGCACCACACUACACUUUCACUAAUGUAUUUUCCAAGUAAAUUUUCUAGUUCUAAGUAAAUAAAUCGAAAAAAGAAAGGGAAGAACUUUGUGGCACAUAAUAGUCAAAUUGCUUAAAAUUUCGGUCACAACAGGCAUAUCGGAAUAAUUUGUCAGGGGAAAAAAAAUUUUCUGUGUUUGAGGUAAAAGGCAUAACAAUACUGGCAAUGCUGGUAUAUAAUUUUAUAGAGAUGACCAGUGCUGAUGUUAUGCAUCUCGCAUACUAAAGAGUAGCAAAAAAAUUACUGAAACUGUGGUUCAUGCCGGAAUUUUACAGUGAGCCCUUCUCGCUAAUUCGUUUCAAACUAUUAGUGGAUCAAGCUCCUAUAAAUAUAUCCCCACCAUCGUGCGUCAUUAGAUUACACCGAAAAAUCACAAACAUGGCAGUUUGGAAAGCAACAGAAUUGAAGAAUUGGCUGCUGUACUAUUCCAUUCCCAAUUUGUCGGACAUUAUGGGAGAGGGAUAUUUUCAAUACCAUAAAUUACUCGUGCUGGGAAUAUACCUCCUCAAUCAAUCAAGUAUUAGCGAAGAAAUGAUAAGAAGAGCUCGAAAUUCACUGCACGAUUACGUUUCUCUCAGUUCCAAACGUUGUACGGAGAGAUAUAUAUGUCCAUAAAUGUGCAUCUUUUGUUACACCUUCCUGAAGUUGUGACCCGGCUUGGACCUCUUUGAGCAACAUCCUGUUUCCCAUUUGAAAACCUAAACGGAGUCAUGAAAAAGUUCGUCCAUGGUACACGAUACGCUGAUCUCCAAAUUUGUUCAUUCUUGUCCUUAUUCAUGGGUGUUAAAAAUUUUUUAAAUCAAAUCCUCACUCCAGAAAUAAAAACAUCAAAGUUUUGUGAACCGUUGGACCUCAAAAGAAAAUUCAAGAAUAAAUCUAUACGUAUCUCAUCGAGCACGAGUAUAAUCAGUCGAAUCCUGAAUCCUGAAAAUGAACAUGGUCAAAAACUUGAACAUUCCCGGCUUUGUCCAUACGUAACAUGUCAGAAUAACGAUGUACAAACUUUAUAAACUUUCCCAAAACGGCAAAAUUUUUUGUAGUCAACAAAAUACUAUGACCAUGAGAACCAAUUCUUCUUGCAUCAAAUAUAAAUAGAAUGAGUCUGAGAUGGAUAUUGGGAUAAUCCAUUAUUUUUUUAGAGUCACGGAUUGUAAUUGGAAUCAUCUAUGUGUUGGCUACAAUGCUAAUUAUCGAGUAUAUGCAGUCAUAUCGGAAUGCGAAAAAUUGAAUACAUUUUCUGACGAUCGGCGAAGUUUAGAAUUCAUUUUCGAGUGCAAAACAUUGAAAGAAGAAAAAGUAUUUGCUAUAGAGAUUUCGCAAUUGAAAGAAAUUUUUUUUUACAAUUAAAAUAAACGAUACGGAGAAAAUGUUUGCAGCGGAACCUGUUAACUAUAUUGAAAAUAUAUAAAGAAUUUAUGAUCAUUUCUGAGAUAAAAAAUUAUUAUUUUUUAAAUAUUUAUAUACCCACGGAUUAAAUAUCUCACGGUUUUUGUAGAAAAUAUUGAACUCAAUGUUUAUUUUUAUACUGUAACGACAGGGCAAGUAUCGGAAUUUUUUUUUUUUUUUUAUUUUUAUUUUUAGGGGCUUCGAGCUCCAUCUUGCACGUGCCCAUGCUGCCCCGUUGCAAGUAUCGGAAUCUCAAACAGCACCACGGGUGCCAUCUACCGGCAAACCUGUGAAAGCAAAUAAACAUUGUUAAUAAUAAUAAUUAUAUCAACAAAUUAUUUAGUUCCCAAGUCAACAAAUAAAGGGAGAAUUAAAAAAAAUCUUGUUCACAAGUGGAGCAAGCGGCAAGGGGAAAUAUAAGCAACAGCGUAAAACAGCAAGGAACUCUUCUUGUCCCUCUGACAAGUAUUUAUACCUUUCCAAGCCAGGGUGAAACCCAAGGUGGAAAGAAAAGUCAGACUUUGUCACGCUCAAGCACGACGGUCUAGGAUUACUCCAAGACUGAGCGAGAAGCUUUUGUGAAUAGGCUUAGUCUGGUGAUUUCUGACCACGGAACACCCAGCGUUGGAAAAUCAGAGUCAAUCUAGUACGAGUACGAUUGUCUCAGAUCUCUCUGAGAUAGAGCGAAGAAACUCGUGCAAGCAGACUGAAUCUGAUUGUCUUACCCGAUUAACCAGCACUUGAUUUGUAAAUAGCGAAGGGUGAUACUUACAAAAUAUGUGCCUCCGCUUUUUAAUCUAUCGCUUCAGGAUUUCCUUACAUUGAUGGCUGCAAUCCCAGGAAAACCUGCCAGGGGAUUUCAGAAAGAAUUAAUAAAUAGAAUCAUAAGUUAUAACUAGAUUAAAUAACGCUGCCCCGCGCCUGGCUCAAAAGUAGGGAACGGAGCAGUGUUACAUAACCUCAAAGAAAACUUGAGAAUUCGGAAGACAAUUUGAAGGAAAAUUCUGAAUGGUCGCUCAAACAGAAUUUAAAUGAAGGACCUCCUGGACCGACAGAUACGGAGAUUUUAUAGGAAAUGCGGGGAUGGGGGAGCGCGUUUUCAUUCGUUUUCAUCAUCACACACAUUCUCCAUGUCUGGAUUGUUAUCAUCAUCGUCCGAGAUAUCGACAAUCAUAAGAUUAUUUCUUUGAACACUAGGAUCACAUUCGCCAUUAUUCGCGAGAUCAAUCACUUCGACAUCAUCGUCGGAAAUGUUACUUUCAUCACGAUAGCCAUUGUUCCUGAGAUCAAUAAUUUCGACAUCGUCAUCGGAUAUGUCGACAACCAUUAUUUCACUUUCUUUAUUACUACAAUAACUAUCAUCGUCGUUCACGAGAUCGAAGAUCUCCACUUCACUUUUACAUAAGUUGAAACUUUGAGACAUUUUUACGUUUUUGGCGAAAAGAUAAAUUUGACACGAACGCGACUGGCAAUGUCACCGAUACUUUUUCGAGGAGUGAUUUUUGACGUAACGAAACAAAACUUUGAUGAGUCAGUAGAGACGUAGAGAGCAGAGUGAUUUUGAAGGAGCGGAAGUUUUUUUCAACCAUUCCAAACUAUCCAUGAAGUUCAUAAUCAAAUUUAUGACAUUCGAAGUAUGUCGAAUAUCCAUCAUGGUGUAACUAACUGAGAUUUACUGACACUGAAAAAAAUGUGUUUCGAAAACUUUCUACGGAGAUGCCCACCCACGCAACUCUUCUCAAACCAGAUUUAUC